GGGGCGUAGCAAUACGUUCGCUGGCGACCGGCAAACGGGUGCGGAACACGUACACAACCUUCCUUAAAGUGGGGGAUAGCCCGGGGAAACCCGGAUUAAUACCCCGUAACAUAAUGAAGUGGCAUCGCUUUAUUAUUAUAGCAGCAAUGCGCUUAAAGAUGGGUGUGCGACUGAUUAGGCAGUUGGCGGGGUAACGGCCCACCAAACCUACGAUCAGUAACUGGUGUGAGAGCACGACCAGUCACACGGGCACUGAGACACGGGCCCGACUCCUACGGGAGGCAGCAGUAAGGAAUAUUGGUCAAUGGACGCAAGUCUGAACCAGCCAUGCCGCGUGGAGGAUGAAGGUCCUCUGGAUUGUAAACUUCUUUUACCUGGGAAGAAAUCCACAAAUUCUUUUGUGGUUGACGGUACCAGGUGAAUAGGCACCGGCUAACUCCGUGCCAGCAGCCGCGGUAAUACGGAGGGUGCAAGCGUUAUCCGGAUUCACUGGGUUUAAAGGGUGCGUAGGUGGGUUGGUAAGUCAGUGGUGAAAUCUCCAGGCUUAACUUGGAAACUGCCAUUGAUACUAUCAAUCUUGAAUACCGUGGAGGUCAGCGGAAUAUGUCAUGUAGCGGUGAAAUGCUUAGAUAUGACAUAGAACACCAAUUGCGAAGGCAGCUGGCUACGCGGAUAUUGACACUGAUGCACGAAAGCGUGGGGAUCAAACAGGAUUAGAUACCCUGGUAGUCCACGCCCUAAACGAUGGAUACUCGACAUACGCGAUAUACAGUGUGUGUCUGAGCGAAAGCAUUAAGUAUCCCACCUGGGAAGUACGAUCGCAAGAUUGAAACUC
rnacentral:rRNA from 1 species